UACGGAGGGUGCAAGCGUUAAUCGGAAUUACUGGGCGUAAAGCGCGCGUAGGCGGUUUUUUAAGUCGGAUGUGAAAGCCCCGGGCUCAACCUGGGAACUGCAUCCGAUACUGGAAGACUAGAAUGCGGGAGAGGGAGGUAGAAUUCCAUGUGUAGCAGUGAAAUGCGUAGAUAUAUGGAGGAUUACCAGUGGCGAAGGCGGCCUCCUGGCUCGACAUUGACGCUGAGGUGCGAAAGCGUGGGGAGCAAACGGC
rnacentral:rRNA from 1 species